GGAGACUGGCUGCAAACCACGUGUGGUACAGAAACAGCUUUCUCCGGUGGCCGUGUCGGAGGACUCGCAGGAUUGGCAGCAGUAUUUCAGCUGUGUCAACACAAUCACAGUAUUUUCAGUUCCUGAUAACAUCCUCAGUUCCUGAUUCACCCUUUCUAGGGACUUUUUUUUUUUUUUUUUUUUAAACAUUGGGAGGUCAAACUCUGUAAGGUGUAACUGCAGCUGGUACAACCCCGUGCUGCUGCUUUCGUUUAGGAAAUGCUUGGUCAGGGCUGUUCUCCAGUUGCUUUCUAUUUUCUCGUUCAUCCGUACCUGCAGACUGAUAAUCCACAGCCGUAACAGCGCAACAUGGGAACAGAUGAUGCUCUUAGGGCACUUUUUUAACCCAACGCGAAGCUGUUUUCGGGGCGAGGGACUGACACCUGGCACGAGCUUUUAAACCGUGUAGCCCAAAAGGUACAGGCUCUAGUAGGUCGCUAACCACGUGCUACCAUGAUGAUGGCACCCAGACAUGACACCUCUCUUUACAGAUCUGCACAGACUGUAUAUUUUUCUUCAGGGAUGCACAUUCCUAGAGAUAAAUCUCUUUCCUUAAUCUCAAAUAUUUGGUUGGUGAUUACUUGUGUAUCUUGCAGAUUUCACUGGAAGUGUCCUUUGGUGGUUUUGUGACAGAAGAUGAACUUUUUAUCUUUUCUGUUGCUUGGGUUGAAGCUGAUACGGAAGAAAUAAUAUCCAAUCUCUGUUUCUUAAGGUACAGGACCAGUCUGUCAGGCUGUUGGCACAAAACAACAAUUGUUUUAUUGUUGGGGUAAGUAAAUAAGAACAAGAAGUCUUAAGUAUUGGCAUAUGUUGAUACUUGGCCAAAAAGGUCUCUAAACAAUACAUUUUCUAUUCAUUCCAGAAACCUCAUACUCCGUUAUUUUUCAUUUAAUGCUGUUGGCAAAUACCCAUGUCACCAUCUAAUUUUGACUGUAGUUCAACUUUUUUAGUGCAAAGCUAAUCCUCAUUAUAGUUGUAAACAUGUGUUUCAUUUGGCCUCGUGCUCAUGUGCUAAAGUGACAAAAGCAAUCUAGGGUUUCUAUCAGAAAUGGAGAUGUAUAGGUAAGCAUUUUGUUCGGUCUACUUCAUCUUUUAUACAGUGAAAAUCAGCCCAGUUGCUUAAUAGGGAAGAAUGUUUUUAUAAGCCUCUCUGUGCUCUCGUGCUUGGCCUGUUUCCUGCUCUGCAUCUUUUUUUGGAAAGAUGGGACACACCAAGGAGGAAAAGAACAAGUGAAACUGUGAACGAUCAUGAGAGCCAUUAGGGUCUUGUGUGGCGGCUCUGUGUGUGUCUUCUACAUCUUCAUGUGCUCUUCAGGCACCAACUAUUUUUUUUUACUUUUUAUUUCAAUAUGCCUCAGUUUUCAUGGAGAUCUAAAAGUUCAGUCCUUAAUGAGGCUUUACUCAAAGUGAAUCUUCUUUAAAAUGAGACUUCAUGUAAGGGAUCACAAAGCAGCAUCCCUGAAGUUACAAUUCACUUUCAGGCAAUUUUAUUUUGCACGGUUUAUAGUUUUUAAAGGCAAAAUUCAGCCUGACUUCCCUGCCUCUAGUGGAGCAAGUGACAAACUGUUUAUCAAAAUAAUCAGAUUCCCAGAAGCCUGGCGGUGACUACACCUGAGGUUUAAGUGUUGUCGGCAGUCACCAAACUCCUUAAAUGCAGCACCGCAAAAAAAAACCCCAAAGCCCUGAGCCUUCCGAGGACAACAAGGCACCGCUUCUCUGAGUCAAGUGGGACCGGACCUGGUGACUAUGGUUUCUUUCAUAAGGACAGGAUAGAAUACAAUAGCACAGAAUAAGAUCUUUCCAGUUGGAAGGGGCCCCCAACAAUCAUCUAAUCCAACUGCAUCAAUGUCCAACAACAAAAAUUAUCCCAUUGCAGUGAAGCUCCUGACUGAAGUAUAGAUUCCUGUUGGCUCUUUUGCUAAUUACUGCUAAGUUACGAUGUCACCUAGGAAUAGGUCAGAGGGAGAAGGCUGGAGGCACAUGGUGAAGGAGGAGCUUUGGUCCUGGCUAUGGUCUGCAGUGUGAUGGGGGUCAGCACUGGUGGUUGCAAACUAUUGCCGUCCUGCAGUGGGGAUGGUGAAAUAGGAAGUCUCCUGAGAAAUUCCCCAGCAGACACAGUCCAUCUGCUUGGACUGGGGUGGGUACCACAACUUCAGCAGCUGGCAACUUGGUCAAGUUUGCCUGUGCCAAAAGAAAAACAGUUUGCCGCAAAACAUUCCUCUAUGUUCAAAUACACGCUUUGGCCACAAACAUUUCUCUGUGUUUGCAUAUACCACUGAGUCGCAAAUUGUCUUCUUGUAUUUAAAUAGGUCCCAAAUUCAAUCCAUACAUUUCCAGCCAUUAUCACCCCAUUAUCCUUUCUCUUUCUUGCUAUUUUUCUCACCAAGCAGUGGUAAACCCCAGGCCCUUUCUCAAACAUGUGGUUGAUAUAAGAGGAAAGUUCUUUUCAAAUAUUAGAAUGGUUUUAAAUAUUGUUUUAUAGCAAUCGUGGUCAUCUGCAAGAAAUCAGUUUUCAAAGAAGUGUUUGAUGGACUGACAACCACUUGAGCCUGGGAUGAGAUUCAAUGGUCCAGUACAAACUGGGUUAGGACUCACUGUUCCGGAGAGCACCGGAGUUUAGAUGAGACUGAUGGAGCUGAAUUUUGAAACUACCCAUUUGCCUUUUGAAAUUUGUUGGGAUCCAGGCUGGCAACAGCAAAAUAACGUUUUACACCAUGAAGUGGUCACCCUGAUUUGACAACGAUGGAAAACUGCGGCUGUCCAAUAGCUGUUGGAGCGCCUGAAGCAUCCGUCCUACGGCACUUGUCACCACGUUUAGCACAACCGUGUUGGUAACCAGGGCAAAGAACUGGACGAGUCUUGUGGUGACUGAGGCUGGAGGAGACCUGGUUUGUGUCAGGCAGGCUUGGAGGUGCAGCACACGGAGAUUUCACCCUGAUGGUGCCGUGGGAGAAGUUCAGGGCUCUGACAUCUCUGAUGUCUGCAGCAGACACGUGACCGUGAAAUCGGAUCCUAGAGGAAAAAAAUCUCUUUUCUGCCUUUUAGCAGUUCCCUAGAACCCUCAUCAUUUAGGUGAGGGGUUUUGGGGGACAUCGCUCUUGAGCCUAGGUGCCUGCUCUGUGAGGAUCAGAGCUAGCUGAGACCUUAAGAGUACGGAGGAAGGUGGCAUGCUGUGCACAGAGGGCAGCGGUAAGGAGAAAUGAGAAAUGUGUCGGACAAGUCACACCCUCUUUCACUGGCCCAAGGGACAAAUGCAGUCAUGACCUCCCAUCCUCUCGAUUAAAGCUCUGCAGUUUUUACUGCUUCCACCCAGUAUAUCUAUUUUUGUUAUAUAGCUUCCCCUAACAACAUUUAUCACCCUCCAAUGCACGCAGGUUUGUUUCCUACAUGCUUCAAUUUAUGCUUUUUGCCAUUAACUGCAUGUUGUUUUGUCUGUCGAUUUAGAGGACUUUCAAUGUGAAGUUUCAGUGUGUUAAUAUGGAAGAAACUCAAAAAAAACUCUUUCUUGGCUAGAAUUCAUCGGGUUCUCAGCAGAAUGGUUGUGUUUCGAGUUGCUAUAUUCACUGUGCUGCAUGGCUGAUGUACCCACAGGAUGAGCUACCUGCUGAAUUUUCCAUCGUUUAUAUGGGUUUUACUGGACACCCAGGUUCAGAAGCAGCAAUGACUUGGGGUUGCUUUGGUUUUUCUAGUUUUCUUUUUUAUUUGUUUGGGUGCUGGAAAGGAGCAGUCAAGGCUUUAGUGAUCAGGAGCCGACACUGGCGCUGCUUUAAAAAUCAUUCAUGCUUUUCAGGUGCCCAGCUUCCAAACUACUUAGGGCACAAGGGGAAAUGUAAACAUUGUUCUGUUAUUCAACCUACUACACAAGAGCAUUGAGCCUGACAAGGCUGCAGGUACCCCCGUGUCCCGUCCUUACCUAGAUCAGACGCUGAUAUCCCUCCCCAGUGACACACAAUCUGGCAGGCUGCUUUUCACUGUAACAAUUGGCCACUGUAAAUGUUGGUUAUGCUUCUUCAUGCCUGCCCUGCCAGAGCUACUUCCAGGAGCUUUUCGCUGCAUUUCUCAGGAUUCAAGCUUGUAGCAGAUCUUUCUUAAAUGCCGUUUGAGGGCAUGUUGCAUUUAAUUGAUCUGUAUAAGGAGGGAGGUGAUUUUAGAUAUUCUUGUGAACCUCAUAUCAAAAGGCUAUCCAGACUUUUUUUUUUUUUUUUGCUCUCUAAGAUAGAUAUACGUGGUAUUAAAAAUUGUGAGACUUCGUGGUAGAGCAAAGGUCAUGAUGGAUGAAGCUGUUUGUAGAGCCCAAAGCUGGCUGCAGAGCGUGAGAUGGAUUUCAGGUUGUGCUGUUAAUAGGCUUUACGCUGGACACGGAGCAGGUAACGGGGCUAACGAAGCUGAAAGUGCUUGUCGCAGAAACGAACACAGGGAGGGCCUCAGCAGGAGAGAGCGGUGAUGAGCUCAAAGGUCGUUAUCGAGAGCAAAACUUGGUGUCUUUGCUGGUGCACUGGUCUUGGAGGGAAAGCAGAGGAGGAGCCAUCCCCUCUGGCCCGCCACUGGUACACCCUGCUCUGCCUUUGAUGAACAUGUUCCAUAUUUAUACCCAGGCCAGCAGAGAUUGCAGGGCCAGGUCUGGCAAAUACUAACGGUCUGACUUUGCAACAGCGUAAGAGCUUUCAAAAUGCUAAUUUAAAGUAUAAGACAUAUAUAAGAAUUAUAAGCAGUAAUAAAUGUGUUCCAACCCAGGCAGGAGAGAAUUACUUCUUCUGAUCAGCUGGCAGAGCUGGAUUUAGAACAGGACUCUGGGCUUUGGUGUAGUUUGAAUUAAGCUGGAUUUCUGCAUUUUAUUAUUUUUAUAGUCUCUUCCCGUCCGACAGAGAUCUCUAUUUCUUUGCUAACGUAAAGCGUAUGACUCUGUGUUGCGUACACUGUGCAUAGCUCAGGCAAGAAGGUGGCAGCAGCCCACUCCUCUGCCAGGGAAUCAUUGUGCGUGAUGGUUCAAGGCUCCCCAGGCUGGUGGAUGCUCCCAGGAUGGUCCUCCCCAGCGUGCCGGCAUCCGAGGGGAGACAGCCUCUUCCCAAAAACCUACCCUCUCUUGCUGUGCUGAGAGACCUUCUCUGCUGGCCCUGGAAGCAGUAGGGAAGUGCUCCCAUCUAGAGCAGUUUGCUUCUCUUUGCUUACCUUUGGCCUCUGGGUCAGGAAACCUUAAUAAUUUCCUUUUUAUUAAUUUAAUCCAUAGUUCCUAGUAAUUACCAUAAAUUAAGCCUGCUGGGGGGGAAAACACAGCCAAUAAAGUACAGAAACUGCUAGCUUUAUUUGGGUAACGUCAGUACCUGGAGGAUUGUUUCCUGUAGGUCAGUCCCUUGGUUGCUGUGAUUAACUUCGGAUCAGACCAGACCGAAAGGCAGAGAGUUUCCCAUCCACCUUUUAAACGAGGCUCAGCCGUGCCAGGAAUUCUGCUAAUGCACAGGGUCCUAUUAAACGCUUAACCUUGGUGUGAAGUGAACUUAUUCCUGCCCCCGUGCAGGUACCGAAUGUUUCCUGAGGACUGUUUCUGUCUGGUUGGAGUGGACUCGUCUGGAGGCACCGGUUUGUUCUUCUCGAUGGUGUUCACCCCGGUGAGCUGACAGCAGCGGGCACGGUUCUCCUUUUAACCCCCUGGAGCUCAGCAUAUGGAUGCAAAUCGUGCGUUAUCUCCCGAGAACAACAAAAAAUAAUAACCUGGAUAUGCAGCAGGAAAAUAUAUAGCGGUGUUUUGCAAAGACCCUUCUUUGGUCCUCCUUAGCAGCACCUUUGGAAAUGGGGCACUUGGAGCGUGAUGAAGAAAGUGGGAAUUAUAACAAGCCCUUGGGAUGAGAGGCUGACUCCGGGAGCCCGCGGAGGCCCCACUAGUAAAGGGUUGCUGGUUUCCUUUUCUAACUGGGCUGAAGCCAGGCAUUCCUGAGUGGCACCGGUCCUCCCAGCGCUGGAAAGGAAACGUUCCCGUUUGUUAGCUGUGGAAGUGCACGCCUAAGCCAAAGGUUACCAGGCUGAGGUGAUAUUUUUGCAUUCCUACAAUGUCUUAGCUUUUUUAAAUUAAAUUCUUGCAACAUGAG